GGUAAACGCUGGCGGCGUGCCUAAAACAUGCAAGUCGAACGCGUACCUUCGGGUGCGAGUGGCAGACGGCUGAGUAACGCGUGGGUGACAUACCCGUUGGUGGGGAAUAACUGCCCGAAAGGGUGGCUAAUUCCGCAUACGUCCGCUGUUUCGUUGGAGUGGGGAAAGUCGCAAGACGCCGAUGGAGUGGCCCGCGUUCGAUUAGCUGGUUGGUGGGGUAACGGCCUACCAAGGCGACGAUCGAUAGCUGGUCUCAGAGGAUGAUCAGCCAGACUGGGACUGAGACACGGCCCAGACUCCUACGGGAGGCAGCAGUUAGGAAUUUUGGGCAAUGGGCGCAAGCCUGACCCAGCAACGCCGCGUGGGUGACGAAGGCCUUCGGGUUGUAAAGCCCUUUUCUCGGGGAAGAUGAUGACGGUACCCGAGGAAGAAGCACCGGCUAACUACGUGCCAGCCGCCGCCGUAAAAC
rnacentral:rRNA from 1 species